rnacentral:rRNA from 1 species
GAUGAACGCUGGCGGCGUGCCUAAUACAUGCAAGUCGAGCGAACGGACGAGAAGCUUGCUUCUCUGAUGUUAGCGGCGGACGGGUGAGUAACACGUGGAUAACCUACCUAUAAGACUGGGAUAACUUCGGGAAACCGGAGCUAAUACCGGAUGAUAUUUUGAACCGCAUGGUUCAAAAGUGAAAGACGGUCUUGCUGUCACUUAUAGAUGGAUCCGCGCUGCAUUAGCUAGUUGGUAAGGUAACGGCUUACCAAGGCAACGAUGCAUAGCCGACCUGAGAGGGUGAUCGGCCACACUGGAACUGAGACACGGUCCAGACUCCUACGGGAGGCAGCAGUAGGUAAUCUUCCGCAAUGGGCGAAAGCCUGACGUAGCAACGCCGCGUGAGUGAUGAAGGUCUUCGGAUCGUAAAACUCUGUUAUUAGGGAAGAACAUAUGUGUAAGUAACUGUGCACAUCUUGACGGUACCUAAUCAGAAAGCCACGGCUAACUACGUG